rfam:Dipodomys ordii contig_66880, whole genome shotgun sequence.
GGUAAUGUAGCUUAGUGGUUGAGUGCUUGCCUAGCACGCAUGAAGCCCUGGGUUUGAUUCCUCAGUACCA